rnacentral:rRNA from 1 species
GUUGGGUAGGGGAGCGUUCUGUAAGCCUGUGAAGGUGGCCUGUGAGGGUUGCUGGAGGUAUCAGAAGUGCGAAUGCUGACAUAAGUAACGAUAAAGCGGGUGAAAAGCCCGCUCGCCGGAAGACCAAGGGUUCCUGUCCAACGUUAAUCGGGGCAGGGUGAGUCGACCCCUAAGGCGAGGCCGAAAGGCGUAGUCGAUGGGAAACGGGUUAAUAUUCCCGUACUUGGUGUUACUGCGAAGGGGGGACGGAGAAGGCUAUGUUGGCCGGGCGACGGUUGUCCCGGUUUAAGCGUGUAGGCUGGUUUUCCAGGCAAAUCCGGUAAAAUCAAGGCUGAGGCGUGAUGACGAGGCACUACGGUGCUGAAGCAACAAAUGCCCUGCUUCCAGGAAAAGCCUCUAAGCAUCAGGUAACAUCAAAUCGUACCCCAAACCGACACAGGUGGUCAGGUAGAGAAUACCAAGGCGCUUGAGAGAACUCGGGUGAAGGAACUAGGCAAAAUGGUGCCGUAACUUCGGGAGAAGGCACGCUGACACGUAGGUGAAGUGAUUUACUCAUGGAGCUGAAGUCAGUCGAAGAUACCAGCUGGCUGCAACUGUUUAUUAAAAACACAGCACUGUGCAAACACGAAAGUGGACGUAUACGGUGUGACGCCUGCCCGGUGCCGGAAGGUUAAUUGAUGGGGUCAGCGCAAGCGAAGCUCCUGAUCGAAGCCCCGGUAAACGGCGGCCGUAACUAUAACGGUCCUAAGGUAGCGAAAUUCCUUGUCGGGUAAGUUCCGACCUGCACGAAUGGCGUAAUGAUGGCCAGGCUGUCUCCACCCGAGACUCAGUGAAAUUGAACUCGCUGUGAAGAUGCAGUGUACCCGCGGCAAGACGGAAAGACCCCGUGAACCUUUACUAUAGCUUGACACUGAACAUUGAGCCUUGAUGUGUAGGAUAGGUGGGAGGCUUUGAAGUGUGGACGCCAGUCUGCAUGGAGCCGACCUUGAAAUACCACCCUUUAAUGUUUGAUGUUCUAACGUGGACCCGUAAUCCGGGUUGCGGACAGUGUCUGGUGGGUAGUUUGACUGGGGCGGUCUCCUCCUAAAGAGUAACGGAGGAGCACGAAGGUUGGCUAAUCCUGGUCGGACAUCAGGAGGUUAGUGCAAUGGCAUAAGCCAGCUUGACUGCGAGCGUGACGGCGCGAGCAGGUGCGAAAGCAGGUCAUAGUGAUCCGGUGGUUCUGAAUGGAAGGGCCAUCGCUCAACGGAUAAAAGGUACUCCGGGGAUAACAGGCUGAUACCGCCCAAGAGUUCAUAUCGACGGCGGUGUUUGGCACCUCGAUGUCGGCUCAUCACAUCCUGGGGCUGAAGUAGGUCCCAAGGGUAUGGCUGUUCGCCAUUUAAAGUGGUACGCGAGCUGGGUUUAGAACGUCGUGAGACAGUUCGGUCCCUAUCUGCCGUGGGCGCUGGAGAACUGAGGGGGGCUGCUCCUAGUACGAGAGGACCGGAGUGGACGCAUCACUGGUGUUCGGGUUGUCAUGCCAAUGGCACUGCCCGGUAGCUAAAUGCGGAAGAGAUAAGUGCUGAAAGCAUCUAAGCACGAAACUUGCCCCGAGAUGAGUUCUCCCUGAGACUUAGAGUCUCCUGAAGGAACGUUGAAGACGACGACGUUGAUAGGCCGGGUGUGUAAGCGCAGCGAUGCGUUGAGCUAACCGGUACUAAUGAACCGUGAGGCUUAACCUUACAACGCCGAAG